GACGAACGCUGGCGGCGUGCUUAAGACAUGCAAGUCGUACGAGAAAGUCUCUUCGGAGAUGAGUAAAGUGGCGCACGGGUGAGUAACGCGUGGGUAAUCUGCCCUUAGGUUUGGGAUAACCCCGGGAAACCGGAGCUAAUACCGAAUGAGACCACGAUGACUUCGGUCGAUGUGGGAAAAGGUGGCCUCUUCUUGAAAGCUAUCGCCAAAGGAUGAGCCCCGCGUUUGAUUAGCUAGUUGGUGAGGUAAUGGCUCACCAAGGCUACGAUCAAUAGCUGGUCUGAGAGGACGAUCAGCCACACUGGAACUGAGACACGGUCCAGACUCCUACGGGAGGCAGCAGUCAGGAAUAUUGGGCAAUGGGCGAAAGCCUGACCCAGCAACGCCGCGUGAAGGAUGAAGGCCUUCGGGUCGUAAACUUCUGUCGAGAGGGAAGAAUGCGUGCGGGUGAAGUAAUCCGUGCGUUUGACGGUACCUCAAAAGGAAGCACCGGCUAACUCCGUGCCAGCAGCCG
rnacentral:rRNA from 1 species